CGGCCCAAAGUUUCAGCCAAGUUCCUCCCUCCCCUUUACUCCCUUUUUCAGUUCUCCUGGUUCCAGCUAGGGUUUCGUGGGCUCGGCCACGUGAGGGCGUUUCGCUGGCGAUUCCAGGGCUUUGCUAGCAAGGAGCAUUCACCGACGAUUUCAAGGCUUCUCCGUCGUGUUGUCUUUCUCAUGUUAGGGUUCCUUUUGUAAAGUUCUCCCCGGGCUGUUAGGGUUUUGUGGUCUCGGUGGUGUGAGGAGGAUUCGCCGGCAAUUCCCAGGUUCUGCGGUCUGUUCUUCUCUCCAGUGGCUCCAGGGCUUCGCCGGCGAGGAGCAUUCGCCGGAGAUUUCAAGGCUUCUCCGACGUGGUGUCUUUCUCGUGUUCGGGUUCCUCGCCUAAAGGUUGUAUAUACGGAUUUCCUGGAUAUCAACUUUUCUAUUCAUCCGUAGCAUAAGUUGUGUUAUUCAGUUCCAAGGAUUUCUUUUGUCAGUCGAGAGGAUUUCAAAUAUGUUAUGGAUCUUGAUCGUGACAGAGAAAGUGCGUCCUCAAGACCUUGUUUUGGCAUUCUAUCUUGGUAAUAUUUGUUCUCCUUACAUUUUAUAUCUUUGUCACCCAAUUUCGAGAAAUAUCAGUUACACCAUAUAGUCAGCCAAGCUCAAAAAUGUAUCUCUUGGAAGGCAUACCCGAGUCGUUCAUGGAACUGAAGCUUCUAAUUUCAAUACUCAUACUUCUGAUAACACUUCUAAAUGCCAAGAAAUGCACAAUGACCCUCUUUGUAGACUCUUCUUCUCCAGAAGUAUGUUUUUUAACCCUUUUUUCUAAUGCACAUGUGGUGUUUUAUUUACACUUUAUUUACUACUAAUUUAAUAUUUCUUUUCUAUGUAAUAUUUUUUUCAUGUUAAUGUGAGUAUUCAACCUUUUGUUCACAAGCAUUGCAAGAUUCUUGUUCAAGAAAUUGCUAAGUUCUUCAACACAGAAAUCCCUACCGAAGCUAUGUCAGUUCUCUCUAAUAGUUUGCCUUGCCUUUCAUCGGAGGUUUAUUCAUUUGCAGUAUCUCAGAAAUAUUGUACAUCUAUUCCAAGUAAAUCUGUUUCUCAUCCAAGCACUCAUUUUGAGAGAUCUCUGUCUAAUGAAAUAGAUCAUGCUUACAUUCACACUUUCAAACAUAAAAAUUUACUCAUUUUGCUCUAUUACAACAUUUUUCUUCUAAACAAUGUUUUUUGAAAACAAUUAUGUUUAAUUGAAUAGUUUAAUUACAUUAUUUAUCUGUUCUUCUAUUGCAACACACUAAUAAUCCCCUCGGACUUGAGGUUUAUUUUAUUACGUAUAAUUAAUUUUUAUGUUCCACAUGCUUUAAUAUAAUGUUCCACUACAGCAAAUUACUAAAUAAGCACCUUUUUUUGUUCCCCUUUAUUAUUUUGUUCUACUACAACAAUGGUUUUAUGACAUUUAUUAGUUUGGUCUAAUGGAACAAAUUAAUAAUCUCCACGGACUCGAUGUUAUUAAUUGUUGUAAUGUAACAAAUUAAUAAACUCCUUGGACUUUGAGGCUUUUUUUUUGUUCCCCUGAAUUUUUUGUUCUAUUUUUUCUCUUUUUUUUCUACUUCAACAUUUUCUUCUAAAUCAAUGUUGUAUGGCAUUUACUAUUUGUUCUAAUGCAAAAAAUUAAUAAUCUCCUUUUGGACUUGAAGAUAUUUUGUUCAACACGGUUCUAAUCACAUCAUUUAUUAGUUGUUCUAGUGAAAAGUUAAUAAACUCAUCGGAUUUGAGGUUUAUUUGUCGCGUAUAAUUAAAUUUUAUGUUCCACAGGCUUUACUAAAAUUUUUCACUAAAGCAAAAUUCUAAAUAAGCAACUUUUUUGUUCCCCUCUAUUGUAUUUUGUUAUAUUUUUAACCCACUUUGUUCUACAUCAACAUUUUCUUUUAAACAAUAUUUUAUAAAAACAAUUUUUUCUAUUUAAUUGUUUAAUUACAUCAUUUCUUAGUUGUCUUGUUGGAACAAAAUAAUAAACUCUUCGGACUUGAGGUUUGUUUUGUUCCAUAUAAUUAAAUUUUAUGUUCCAUAGGCAUUACUAAAAUCUUCUACUCUAACAAAUCAACAUUUUUAUUCCAACUUUUUAUUUAUAAAAUUGUUUUAAUAAAAAAUUUCUUUUUUUGCUUCCAAAUAAAAUAUUAAUUUUGUUCACAUUUUAAUAUGUUAUAUUUAAAUAAUAAGUUAUUUUUUUCACGUGACAAAUAUUUUUGUCCUUUUUAUUUUUUUUUAUUCCAUGUGUUUCAAACUUUGCACCAGCUUAUUAAUACUUCUGUUAUUAUACAAAAGGUAACUGCCUCGCCAUAGAAAAUUAAUUUCCUCUAUUCUUCGCUCAGGGGGGGCUCCCAACUCUGUUUCUGUCUCUCCCCCGCAUCUCCUUUCUUCUUGGUGAAUUCAUCUUCUUCAAGUGUUUCGGAUCUAUCGAACUGCGCAUGGAGGUAAGAUGCACUUGAAUUAGGCACUUGAAUGCCCUCCUAGAUUUGAAUCCCAUUCCUUUCUUUUUAGAUCUUAGGUCUCUCAAGCACUAUAUGAUUUUUUUGAAUAAGAUACAGUGCUGUUCGCCAAACUGAUUUAGAUCUAAAUCACGGGACACUAUUUGUAAGAUUCAUUCAACUCAUCUAGGCAUCUAGAUUAUAUGGAAGAUACAAGAGAAGUAAGAUUUAUUCCCAACUCUUUCUUUCCCGCCUUUAUAGCUUUUUCCUUUUUCUGUGAGAUAUACUAUAUAGGUCCAGAUUAUUCAUCUUCUUCCUGUGCUAAGAUUUUUAUUAUUCAUCCCAAUCUCGCUGCAAUCGCAGACAUGAGUGGUUCGUUGGCAGCAUUUAAAGCAGUUUCCUGUUAGUUUGUCAAAUUCAUUUACCAAUAUCCAGUUUUGUUCAAAUAUGCAUGUUGUUUUAUUCCAUCUUAUGUGCUAAGAUCUGUAUGUUCAGAUCUGCUAUAUAGGUCCAGAUUACCAAUCUCCUUUUACCAAUCUCCAUUUUUGUUCAAAUCUGUUUGUUCUUGUUUUGUUUUUUCAAUUUAAAACUUCUAUUCUUUAUGCUUUUUCUCUUUCUAUUCUCAAUUUGGCUUAUCUCAAAGCUUUCUACAGAUAAAAAUAUUAAUAGUAGUUCCGGAGUUUGUGAACAGAAGUCAACGAUUGAUGCACUGGAGGAAGAUAAUUUUACCUCAAAAAAGUUAUCUACUGUUUCAAGGCCUACAACUGUUUAUAUACAAGGCUCAAAAUGUUGUUAUGAUCAAUUCAGACUUUUCUCUUCAGCUAAUGGGUUUUGUUCAAGAGGCUGUUAUGGAGGCUUUCAUUAAAUUAUUUAACAACAACCACAAACAGAUUGCUGGAACAAAUUGUUCUAUUUCAAAAACUGUUUUUCCUGUUGAUUUAGUGUACAAACUCUGUUCAGAUCCAACCACUUUCGUUCCUGAUUUUAUUCAACAUCAAGUACUCAAGAUACAUGAGGAUAUGGACAUUUCUUCUGCUGAUAUUGUAAUUUGUAUUUUCCCUUUUUUAGUUUUUUUAAUACCUACAUAUAUAUUCUUCACUUUAAUGAUCAAAUAGAUUUUUAAAAUAUUGUGUAUAUCCAUUUUAUUUCUGCAGUUUUGCCUCCAUAUCAUCCUAAGUGAGGCUGUCUCCAACAGGAGACUCUAAACCGUUCUCUACCCAAUAUAUAGAGAAGAUUCUGUUCUCUAUAUGCUCCAGCAGCGUUCUCUAAAUGGUCCUCUAAAAUAGAGAACGCUGCAGCACUUUGGAGUAUCCGUUCUGAAGAUUGUCUGCCUAUGAAUUCCAUUAAGUUCGCAGCAAAUUGCUUGGUUCAAAAUUUUCAGUCAACUUGCCAAAGGGCUAAUGUUUUUCAAAGGGAAAUCUCAAAUUAUCCACUUCAAGUCCCACGAUGCCCAAAGCAUUAAAAUUCCAUUUUUCAAAGGUCAAAUUUAGGGAUAUAUGUUAUGCUGUUCUUGUACCAUUGGGAUGGCAAAUUUGAAAAGAAGUUUGGUCAUGUUCUGGCAAAUGAAUUUAGGAAACUCAUCGCUUACUGGCUGAUGUCCUCUGAUCUAAAUGAGAUCGAUGUAGAAACAAUUACAAAUCAGGAAGAUGUAUCUUGAUAAUGUUAGCUUAUUAGUAUCUUUAGACACAGACUUCUCAAGCCUCUUUCUCGAUGUACCUUCACUGUACUAUUUUUAUAUUGUGUUACGGAUCAUUUUUGGAUCCGGUAGCGUUGCUGUAAAAAGUUAUUUGUCAACCAGUUCAAUUGAAAUAUGGGAUCUUUAUUUAUUGUCCUUCGAUUUUGGAA